rnacentral:rRNA from 1 species
CCUACGGGAGGCAGCAGUGAGGAAUAUUGGGCAAUGGACGAGAGUCUGAACCAGCCAAGUAGCGUGAAGGAUGACUGCCCUAUGGGUUGUAAACUUCUUUUAUAUGGGAAUAAAAUGUUACACGUGUGGGAUUUUGUAUGUACCAUAUGAAUAAGGAUCGGCUAACUCCGUGCCAGCAGCCGCGGUAAUACGGAGGAUCCGAGCGUUAUCCGGAUUUAUUGGGUGUAAAGGGAGCGUAGGUGGAUUGUUAAGUCAGUUGUGAAAGUUUGGGGCUCAACCGUAAAAUUGCAGUUGAAACUGGCAGUCUUGAGUACAGUAGGGGUGGGCGGAAUUCGUGGUGUAGCGGUGAAAUGCUUAGAUAUCACGAAGAACUCCGAUGGCGAAGGCAGUUCACUGGACUGCAACUGACACUGAGGCUCGAAAGUGUGGGUAUCAAACAGGAUUAGAUACCCUAGUAGUC